rnacentral:lncRNA from 1 species
AGAAGGUCAGAUGGCUCACAGCGGGCGUGGAGCACAAGAAGCAAAGAGAAGCAGGAAAUGACUUACUGCAAAGAACCACUCUUCCCCACGAGACUUCGAGAAGACCCGCUGUCACGGACUGAGUUGUGUCCUCUUAAAAUUCAGAUGUUGGAGUCCAAACCCCCAGUAACUCAGAGUGUGAACGUAUUUGAAGAGGUCUUUAAAGAGGUGAUGAAGGGAGAGAGACCCCAUGAGCUCGUCAAGCUCCUUCUGUGACUGAUCAGAGAUCCCACCGUGAGUCCAGCUCCUGGUCCCAUGCUCUGGAUAUAUCGGUCCCUGGCAGCGUGGCUCCAUCUCCGUAGCCUGCUUUUGACAAAAGUGGAUACAUAAAUCUAGGGGCCACCUAGCUAGUUCUAAUAAGACUUUGGAAGUCAAAAGCUAAAGAAGACCAGGGGACCAAGCUGGAAAUCAGGCUCUGCAAUCAGAUUCCAGAGGGAAUGCCAUUCCACCCAAUCACCUAGCCACAACGGUUCCCUUCCUUCAAGAUGCUGCAUGCCUCUUCAGGCGAAUGGAUUACCUUGUAAGAGUGACCUGAAAAAGCGUUAGCCCAGCCACACCGAGGCUUAACUGAGCCAUUUGAUUCUCACUGCCUCUCUCUGUUGCUUCCUCUUGCUUUCAACUACAGGGUCUUUCUGUUUAGGUGGUGAAAAAAAUGAUCGUUAAAAACAAUAAACCUGGGGACCUCUGAUACCAUGAGCCCAGC